UGGGAGUUUAGUGGCGAAAGGGUGAGGAAUACUUGGGAACGUACCCCGUACACUGGGAUAGCUUUGGGAAACUAAAGGUAAUACCGGAUACUCUCCUUCGGGAGCAAAGGGUGGGGAUCUCUUCGGAGACCUGCCGGUAUGGGAGCGGCCCAAGUCCUAUCAGCUUGUUGGUGAGGUAAUGGCUCACCAAGGCGACGACGGGUACCGGGACUGAGAGGUCGAUCCGGCACAUCGGGACUGAGACACUGCCCAG
rnacentral:rRNA from 1 species